rnacentral:miRNA from 1 species
CAAUGCUCUUCCAACUGAGCUACGCGGUCCUGACCGCGUAGCUCAGUUGGAAGAGCAUUGGG